CGGCGGCCAUAGCGAGAGGGAAACGCCCGGUCACAUUCCGAACCCGGAAGCUAAGCCUCUCAGCGCCGAUGGUACUGCAGGGGGGACCCUGUGGGAGAGUAGGACACCGC
rnacentral:rRNA from 3 species